rnacentral:rRNA from 1 species
AUUGAACGCUGGCGGCAGGCCUAACACAUGCAAGUCGAACGGUAACAGGAAGAAGCUUGCUUCUUUGCUGACGAGUGGCGGACGGGUGAGUAAUGUCUGGGAAACUGCCUGAUGGAGGGGGAUAACUACUGGAAACGGUAGCUAAUACCGCAUAACGUCGCAAGACCAAAAAGGGGGACCUUCGGGCCUCUUGCCAUCGGAUGUGCCCAGAUGGGAUUAGCUAGUAGGUGGGGUAACGGCUCACCUAGGCGACGAUCCCUAGCUGGUCUGAGAGGAUGACCAGCCACACUGGAACUGAGACACGGUCCAGACUCCCACGGGAGGCAGCAGUGGGGAAUAUUGCACAAUGGGCGCAAGCCUGAUGCAGCCAUGCCGCGUGUAUGAAGAAGGCCUUCGGGUUGUAAAGUACUUUCAGCGGGGAGGAAGGGAGUAAAGUUAAUACCUUUGCUCAUUGACGUUACCCGCAGAAGAAGCACCGGCUAACUCCGUG